AUUGAACGCGGGCGGCAUGCCUUACACAUGCAAGUCGAACGGCAGCACGGGGCAACCUGGUGGCGAGUGGCGAACGGGUGAGUAAUGCAUCGGAACGUACCUUUAAGUGGGGGAUAACGUAGCGAAAGUUACGCUAAUACCGCAUAUUCUGUGAGAAGGAAAGCAGGGGAACGCAAGACCUUGCGCUGAUUGAGCGGCCGAUGUCAGAUUAGCUAGUUGGUGAGGUAAAGGCUCACCAAGGCGACGAUCUGUAGCGGGUCUGAGAGGAUGAUCCGCCACACUGGAACUGAGACACGGUCCAGACUCCUACGGGAGGCAGCAGUAGGGAAUUUUGGACAAUGGGGGCAACCCUGAUCCAGCCAUGCCGCGUGAGUGAAGAAGGCCUUCGGGUUGUAAAGCUCUUUCGGCCGGGAAGAAAUCGCACGGGCUAAUACCCUGUGUGGAUGACGGUACCGGAAUAAGAAGCACCGGCUAACUACGUGCCAGCAGCCGCGGUAAAAC
rnacentral:rRNA from 1 species